rnacentral:rRNA from 1 species
AUUGAACGCUGGCGGCAGGCCUAACACAUGCAAGUCGAGCGCGAAAGUCCUUCGGGAUGAGUAAAGCGGCGGACGGGUGAGUAACGCGUGGGAAUCUGCCCAUAGGUGGGGGAUAACUAGCCGAAAGGUUAGCUAAUACCGCAUAUGCCGAGAGGUAAAAGGAGUAAUCCGCCUUUGGAUGAGCCCGCGUCCGAUUAGCUAGUUGGUAGGGUAAAAGCCUACCAAGGCUACGAUCGGUAGCUGGUCUGAGAGGAUGAUCAGCCACAAUGGGACUGAGACACGGCCCAUACUCCUACGGGAGGCAGCAGUGGGGAAUUUUACGCAAUGGGGGAAACCCUGACGUAGCGACACCGCGUGAACGAAGAAGCCCUUUGGGGGUGUAAAGUUCUGUCGGCUGGAACGAAAAAAAUGACGGUACCAGCAAAGGAAGCAUCGGCUAACUACGUGCCAGCAGCCGCGGUAAU